rnacentral:tmRNA from 1 species
GGGGGCGUUUAUGGAUUCGACGGGGAUUGGACGAGCGCGUGCCAGCGGGUAGCAGGGAGUCGUCUGCUUCAUCAACGCUAAAGCCAAUUAAAUGGCAAACAACAACCAACUUACGCUGUAGCAGCUUAAUAACCUGCUCGCGUGCUCUCGCUCUGUAUCGCCCAUGUACCGGGAUGAGGGCCCAACUUUAGUGGGAUACGCUGUCACAUCUCCGCCUGGGGUGUGCUGAAGAAGACAAUCAGGCUGACCUAUAGAGUACCGUGUUGCAGGGGGACUCCGUAGGUGACAUCAAAACUGCAGCUACACCCGUAGAAAGCCGCGUGGCGUGGUCUUCGGACAGGGGUUCAAAUCCCCUCGCCUCCACCA